GAAGAAUGUACACAAACACCAAUCCUACUCGUAGUAAAAGAAGAAGAUCAUUCAUUUCCUUCUGAUGAGGAGGCAGCUACCCACUCUUUUCCAGUGUCUGAUAUAUCUGAUCGAAUGAAGGGUCAGAAGACGGUCUUGUUACAAGAUAUAAAGAGAGAGCCAGGGCUAUAGACAAAUCUUUCAAAGAGAUAUAAUAUGAAGUACUGAGGAAAAGAUAAAAAGUAAAGCUUUCGUCCAGAGUGUAACUGGCAGACAAAGAGGAAGGAUAGCUCACUCCAUAAACCUGCAAAACAGUAUCCGAAGGUCCUGGGUUAACUAAGGUCCUGGGUUAAGAGCCCCAGUCAGGUUGAACUUUAUCCUCAUUGUGUGACAUUUGGCACUGAUAGUGAGGUGUAAAUGCCUAUACGUCGGAGGACAAUGAGAAUGGCUCUGUAACCCUCGAAAUAUAAAGAGGAAUUUCAAUAAAGCACUGAGGAGAUUAUGGGACAGUCUGUUCACUUAUUGGAUGAGAAAAUAUGUUCGCUGCUGGAUAGCUCAAAUGGAAGAGUCCUGGAACAGUAUUCCGGAGGUCCUGGGUUUGAGCCCAAAUCAAUCUGCACAUUGUCAAUCUGUGGCAUAUAUAACAUUUAUAUUUGAUAUUUAAUUGCCAUACAACUUAUAAAUGUAAUAAUAAAAACACAUAUAUGACUGUAUAUUAUCUGUGCAUGGGAAAAAAGUAACCAUUGCUUAAUGCUUAUGACAUUCUUUAUACUUUGAUUUAAGUAGUUCGUAUAUUUGGUUUAACAAAAAUUUUGAUUAUAAAAUUUUAACAUAUUUUCCACCAAUAAACCAGUAAUGUUGAAGUAAAAUAUCUGUGUAUUAUUUCAAUUCGUAAUUCAUUUCAGUGAAAUGAUUUGCAUCUUAUUAAUUUUUUUUUAUCGUGAACAGGGUCUAUUUGCUUAAUUAUUUUUGGAAAGGAGCAUAAACUUGCAACUUCCUCAUUAAAUAAAAAAUACAUCUUAAAACAUGUUUACAAAAACCAACAAAAAUUCCAAAAAUAUAGAACCCUGAUAAAGUCAUUGUUUUAUAAAUAUUACACAGCUUUGAUUGUAUGCGUCCUGUUAAGUUUCUCUUAGUAAAUUUUAUUAUUCCCAUAAGUCCCUCUUAAUUUAAAAAUACUCAAUUUCCACUAUUAUUGACCCACAGAAUAAUGAAAUAAUGCUUGUCUUUGCCAUUUUUAUUAGCUCAACUUGUUUUUGAAAAAAAAAAUAGAGGUUUUGUUAAACUCACUUCGGCAUUGCUGUUGCCUUCUGCAAACUUAAUUCUUGACAUCAUAACUUAUUAAGUUCUUGGUGUAUUGUCUUUAUAAUUGGCCACACCAACCCUUGGCACAAGACCUUUUAGUAGACCAGACUAGCUUUGACUUUCAUUCAUAAGUGACCUUAAACUUCAAGGUCAAAUGUCUAAAUUUUGCUUGAUUUUUAGCUCGACUAUACGAAGUAUAUGGAGAGCUGUCCUGUCCUACUCGCCCCGGCGUCCGCGUUCAGAUUUCAGAUUAAAGUUUUGGUGCAGUAAAAUAUUUUUCACUAUAACUUUUUCAUUUCUUAAGGUAUCAACUUCAAACUUCAAAUAUAUGUUCCUUAUCAUCAACUUCAGCUUAUGUGACAUAGCACCAAUAUUUUCAGAUAAAUCUCCCCUUGAACUUAGAAUUUUCCUUAAAAAAUAUUGUUUUUUACUGUUACUUAUUUAUUUCGUAAGGGAUCAACUUCAUACUUCAAAUAUAUGUUCCUUACCAUUAACUACAUGUUAUGUGACAAGGUUCAUAACUCUAGCACCAAUAUUUUCAGAUUUAUCUCCCCUUAAACUUAGAAUUUUCCUUAAAAAAUACUAUUUUUAACUGUUACUUCUCUAUUCUUAAGGGAUCAACUUCAUACUUCAAAUAUAUGUUCCUUACCAUUAACUACAUGUUAUGUGACAAGGUUCAUAACUCUAGCACCAAUAUUUUCAGAUUUAUCUCUCCUUGAACUUAGAAUUUUCCUUGAAAAAUAUUAUUUUUUACUGUUACUUAUUUAUUUCUUAAGGGAUCCACUUCAUACUUCAAAUAUAUGUUCCUUACCAUUAACUACAUCUUAUGUACUCUAGCACCAAUAUUUUUUUAUUUAUCUCCUCUUGAACUUAGAAUUUUCCUUAAAAAAUACUAUUUUUAACUGUUACUUUUCUAUUUCUUAAGGGAUCAACUUCAUACUUCAAAUAUAUGCUCCUUAUCAUUUACCACAUGUUAUGUGACAAGAUUCAUAACUCAGUGGAGUCCCUUUUAAACAGUAGCUUUACAUAGAUUGUUUGUUGUAUAAACAUAAUUUCCUUAUUAGGCACGGAGAGUGAGACUUAACACAUUAUAACGAUGCGGACAAAUCUUGAAGAUUUACCAAAGAACUCAAAAGUUCAUUCAUGUCUUCCACAGUGGCAUAAUUAAAUGGCCAUGCAUUCUUGUGUGGCUCUUUAACUGGUAUGGGACUUUUGUAUUGCUUGCAAUUACUUUACUAAUUGCUUGUCUUUAAAUGGUAUAUUGAUAAAAGAUCCUGUGAAACCUUCCAGUAAAUGUUCUUUAUCAGUGUGCAAUAUUUAGAAUUUGUAUUACUCUAUUUG